UAAGACGUAGGGGACGAGCGUUGUCCGGAUUUAUUGGGCGUAAAGCGCGCGCAGGCGGCCACGUAAGUCGGAUGUGAAAUCCCGGGGCUCAACCCCGGAACUGCAUUCGAUACUGCGUGGCUCGAGGUAGGUAGGGGAGAUCGGAAUUCCUGGUGUAGCGGUGGAAUGCGCAGAUAUCUGGAGGAACACCGGUGGCGAAGGCGGCAUCCUGGACCGACACUGACGCUGAGGAGCGAAAGCCAGGGGAGCAAACGGGAUUAGAUACCCCGGUAGUCCUGGCCCUAAACGAUGAAUGCUUGGUGUGGCGGGUAUCGAUCCCUGCCGUGCCGAAGCUAACGCAUUAAGCAAUCCGCCUGGGGAGUACGGUCGCAAGGCUG
rnacentral:rRNA from 1 species